rnacentral:rRNA from 1 species
UACGUAGGGUGCAAGCGUUUGUCCGGAAUUAUUGGGCGUAAAGAGCUCGUAGGCGGUUUGUCGCGUCUGCUGUGAAAACCCGAGGCUCAACCUCGGGCCUGCAGUGGGUACGGGCAGACUAGAGUGCGGUAGGGGAGAUUGGAAUUCCUGGUGUAGCGGUGGAAUGCGCAGAUAUCAGGAGGAACACCAAUGGCGAAGGCAGGUCUCUGGGCCGUAACUGACGCUGAGGAGCGAAAGCAUGGGGAGCGAACAGG